AACGAACGCUGGCGGCAUGCCUAACACAUGCAAGUCGAACGAGACCUUCGGGUCUAGUGGCGCACGGGUGCGUAACGCGUGGGAAUCUACCCUUGGGUUCGGAAUAACAGUUAGAAAUGACUGCUAAUACCGGAUGAUGACGUAAGUCCAAAGAUUUAUCGCCCAAGGAUGAGCCCGCGUAAGAUUAGCUUGUUAGUGGGGCAAUGGCCUACCAAGGCGACGAUCUUUAGCUGGUCUGAGAGGAUGAUCAGCCACACUGGGACUGAGACACGGCCCAGACUCCUACGGGAGGCAGCAGUGGGGAAUAUUGGACAAUGGGCGAAAGCCUGAUCCAGCAAUGCCGCGUGAGUGAUGAAGGCCUUAGGGUUGUAAAGCUCUUUUACCAGGGAUGAUAAUGACAGUACCUGGAGAAUAAGCUCCGGCUAACUCCGUGCCAGCCGCCGCGGUAA
rnacentral:rRNA from 1 species